AACGAACGCUGGCGGCAGGCUUAACACAUGCAAGUCGAACGCAUCCUUCGGGGUGAGUGGCAGACGGGUGAGUAACGCGUGGGAACGUGCCCUUCAGUUCGGGAUAACCCAGGGAAACUUGGGCUAAUACCGGAUACGUGCGCGAGCAGAAAGAUUUAUCGCGGAAGGAUCGGCCCGCGUCUGAUUAGCUAGUUGGUGGGGUAAUGGCCCACCAAGGCGACGAUCAGUAGCUGGUCUGAGAGGAUGAUCAGCCACAUUGGGACUGAGAAACGGCCCAAACUCCUACGGGAGGCAGCAGUGGGGAAUAUUGGACAAUGGGCGCAAGCCUGAUCCAGCCAUGCCGCGUGAGUGAUGAAGGCCUUAGGGUUGUAAAGCUCUUUCGUCCGGGACGAUAAUGACGGUACCGGAAGAAGAAGCCCCGGCUAACUUCGUGCCAGCCGCCGCCGUAACAC
rnacentral:rRNA from 1 species